rnacentral:rRNA from 1 species
UGCGCAGGCGGUUGUGCAAGACAGAUGUGAAAUCCCCGGGCUUAACCUGGGAAUUGCAUUUGUGACUGCACGGCUAGAGUGUAUCAGAGGGGGGUAGAAUUCCACGUGUAGCAGUGAAAUAGCGUAGAGAUGUGGAGGAAUACCGAUGGCGAAGGCAGCCCCCUCGGGAUAACACUGACGCUCAUGCACGAAAGCGUGGGGAGCAAACA